AUGUAUGUUUUGGUAAGCAAGUACCACUGAUCCCCGCCACUCACUCCAGUUCUUAUGUACAUAAAGAAAUACAUGUCACAUGGAUUUUGGAUUAUGGAAAUUUCAGAAAAAGUUGUUGAAGAUGUUUGUAGAAUAUUCACUGAGGCUUGCUGCUACACUCUUUAGCUUCUUAUAUCACCAAGCACUCAAACUAAAGGGAUUGGUUUUUAAGGUGCAGUGAAUUGUGACCUGAAGCGUAUUUUCAAAUAGAACAAGGUAGUUUACCAACUCACCUCAUUUGCAGUGUUGUGAAAGAUUGGAAGAGCUACCUGAUGCUGCCAUGUGGCUGAGUAUUAUGGUGACCCAUGAACUGGAGACACUCAGGUCAGGGAGGAGAUUAAACCUUUUAAUGUUGAUUUUAGACUUAGAAUUCUUGUGAAUUGCUUUAUCUGCAUCCUCCAGCAUGAACACGUCAUAACCAGUUUAUUCAUGAACCGGUUGGUUCUCAUGCUACUGCCAGUAAUUUGCUUUUCAAGAAAGCUUCGAUAAUGAUGUGAUUAUUCAGUUGGCUUAUGGUCUUCGGUAGGAUCAUUCUCUGGAGUUUUGAUCUAUAUGGUUUUGUCCUAGUUUUGCACCAAACUAAAUGUGGCAAGGCAUGUUGAUAGUAGCCUACUAAUUACUGAAUAUUUGUGAGGCACGUAGCUGCUGGUUCUGUUCACGCCAGGCAUGUGGUUGUUACUGUAUUUGCCUCUGGACAAAAUCUUCAUAUCAAGGAGCAACUUGGUGAAGAUCAAUUUAGUCAGGUAUUUGAUAAUCUUAGUGUAUGAUUGUUUGGUUUGUAAUAUACUAAUAUGCUAGCAUCAUACAAUCACCAAUGUCUCUAAAAUAUUAUCAUGUUAUUUGUAUGUUAACUUUUUUACCUUUCUUGUUUAUUUUGUUGUGUUUUUUUUUGGUUUGUUUGUGAAACACUGAGGGGAUUAGGGGAUUUUGUCUGUAUGAUUAGCUGUAAAUUUAGUCUGAUGUAUGUAAUUGUUUGUAAAAGAGAAUUUUUGCCCAAUGAAAUGUAUAUAUUCUGGUUUUUUGUUGUGCGUUUGUGGCAAGUUAUGGGCUAUGGCUAAGUUAUACAAAUAUACAUCAAGUAAAAACUCUUGUUCUUCAGAAUAUUGAGCUAGCCAGCAAAUUGGUUUGGGAUUUUUAGGAGUCUCGAGUGUACAAGACAAAUUCCAGCAUGAGAUUUGCUACACUUACCUUUCUGUGCAACAACCAUAAAAUUGUUAUGAUAGAUGAUUUGCAGGAGGAGGAAUUAUUUAUCUAUUGGCAUUGA
rnacentral:sRNA from 1 species